UACGUAGGCAGCGAGCGUUGUUCGGAAUUACUGGGCGUAAAGAGUGUGUAGGCGGUGCUCCCAGUAUGUUGUGAAAUCUCCCGGCUUAACUGGGAGGGUGCAGCGGAAACUAGAGUGCUAGAGGGUGGGAGAGGUAAGCGGAAUUCCUGGUGUAGCGGUGAAAUGCGUAGAUAUCAGGAGGAACACCUGUGGUGUAGACAGCUUACUGGACCACUUCUGACGCUGAGACACGAAAGCGUGGGUAGCAAACAGG
rnacentral:rRNA from 1 species